rnacentral:rRNA from 1 species
UACAGAGGUGGCAAGCGUUGUUCGGAAUUACUGGGCGUAAAGGGCGCGUAGGCGGCCAUCUAAGUCAGACGUGAAAUCCCCCGGCUUAACCUGGGAACUGCGUCUGAUACUGGACGGCUCGAGUUUGGGAGAGGGAUGUGGAAUUCCAGGUGUAGCGGUGAAAUGCGUAGAUAUCUGGAGGAACACCGGUGGCGAAGGCGGCAUCCUGGACCAACACUGACGCUGAGGAGCGAAAGCCAGGGGAGCAAACGGG